UACGGAGGAUGCGAGCGUUAUCCGGAUUUAUUGGGUUUAAAGGGUGCGUAGGCGGGCUGUUAAGUCAGCGGUCAAAUGUCGGGGCUCAACCCCGGCCUGCCGUUGAAACUGGUGGCCUCGAGUGGGCGAGAAGUAUGCGGAAUGCGUGGUGUAGCGGUGAAAUGCAUAGAUAUCACGCAGAACUCCGAUUGCGAGGGCAGCAUACCGGCGCCCGACUGACGCUGAGGCACGAAAGCGUGGGUAUCGAACAGG
rnacentral:rRNA from 1 species